rnacentral:sRNA from 1 species
AAAUGCAAAGCUAGACUGAGCAAGGGAAGUGACAGGAAAUGGAGCUGGGGAGACAAAAAUCUGGAUAACAACAAAAGAAUUUCAACAGGUAAAAAAUGAGUCAAACAUCUCUCAAACAGAAAAAGAAUGAGCUCGGAAUGAGGUCCUCAAAAGAGAGUCUAGAAGCAGAAAAAAGAAAGGAAUCUGACAAAACAGGAGUUCGUCUGAGCAAUCAGGGAUCACAAGAAUCAUCAAUGCGGAAGACAGACUCUCGAGGGUACCUUGUGCGCAGUCAAUGGUCUAGAACAUCCCGGAGCCCAUCCACCAAGGCUCCAUCCAUAGAUGAGCCUAGAAGCAGGAACAUCAGUGCUAAGAAAUAUCAAACAGCUGAGGCCUAGAAAUGUCCGGAUCCCUUAAGCCUUACUUAAGGAGCUGAGAUGAACCAGCACCCAUCAGAAGUCUAGGAAUGGAAUAGGCAGAAGGGACAGAUCCUUGACGGGAGAUGGGCAGGCAGGCCUCAACUUCAGACGCCCAUUGUCUUGCCGCAGCUCCCCAGCAGCUCCACGAGCUCCCGGACUCCA